rnacentral:lncRNA from 1 species
AGAACCUCUAUGUGGUUCGGUAAGCCUAUAGUAUAUGAUGGAGCUAGUCUACCUAGGACCUUCCGGUCCACUCUAUCCUAACCUUUAAAUCCUAUAGAAGAGUUCUAUUGAUCACCUCCACCUCUUCGUUUGCCUAUGGGUGACCCACUAAGGUGAAGCAGUUCUCUAUUCUAUGUUCUCUAUAAAAAUCAUAGAGUUGAGCACCACUGAACUGUCUGUCAUUAUCUGUAAUCAGCACUCUGAAAAGACCAUAGCGAUAGAAGAUUGACUUUCAAAUAAAGUCUUUUAUUUUUGUCUUGGUGAUGCGAGUAAGAGGCUCGGCCUUAAUGUAUUUUGUGUCAUAGUCGAUGGCCACCAUGAGAAACUAGCACUGACUUGACAUGAGAGGAAAGGGGCCAAAAAUAUUCAUACCCCAUUA